GCUACUUUACGGAGUCUUCCCUAGUUUCUUCAUCUAGUCUUGCCAAGCCUGUUUACCUGUGUUUUGAUUAUUGCUUUUGUGUUUUUGGAUUGCCCUUUUCUCUUGCCUUUUGGACUCUGUUUGCCCCUGUUUGGAUUAUUGUACUCCUGUUUGGAUUAUUGUAUUGCUUGCCGAUCGACGACCCACGCAUGCUUUUGGUAUACUCUUGUGUCUUGCCCUCGACGUGUCUGUCUAUUGAUGUUUGAUCCUGCCUGUGUUAGACCACCAUGCUUGCAAAUGGAUCCUCACACCUCAUGUCUCGUCGGCUCCAUAACAAAUUGACUGUAUUAUCAAUAAAGUUUGAUCUGAUUGAUCAGCAUGAUAAGAUGAGUUUGAUGUGAAAGUGACUCACAUGCAGCAGUUUGCAGCAGCAGCAUCAGUCCAAAGAUGAGCAUAAUUUCCCUAAAGUCCAGCGGAAGAGAGUCAGAUCGAGUCUCUCUGACAGACAGCAGCUCUACUGACACAACAGGAAAUUACAACAAAGAAAUUCUCUCAUCCAGAUCAAUGCUGCUGUUUCCAUCCAUCAGUGGAUCUCCAUUCAGAGUCCAGCUGUAGAGGAGCUGAUCCCCCUCAGAGGAGCAGAACACCCUCAUCACCCCACUGGAGGAGCAGAUGAUUGACACUUC